rnacentral:rRNA from 1 species
AGUAGUUCGAUCCUGGCUCAGGACGAACGCUGGCGGCGUGCUUAACACAUGCAAGUCGAACGGAGCACCCUGAAGGAGUUUUCGGACAACGGAUGGGAAUGCUUAGUGGCGGACUGGUGAGUAACGCGUGAGGAACCUGCCUUCCAGGGGGGGACAACAGUUGGAAACGACUGCUAAUACCGCAUGAUGCGUUGGAGCCGCAUGACUCCGACGUCAAAGAUUUAUCGCUGGAAGAUGGCCUCGCGUCUGAUUAGCUAGUUGGUGAGGUAACGGCCACCAAGGCGACGAUCAGUAGCCGGACUGAGAGGUUGGCCGGCCACAUUGGGACUGAGAUACGGCCCAGACUCCUACGGGAGGCAGCAGUGGGGAAUAUUGGGCAAUGGACGCAAGUCUGACCCAGCAACGCCGCGUGAAGGAAGAAGGCUUUCGGGUUGUAAACUUCUUUUAAGGGGGAAGAGCGGAAGACGGUACCCUUUGAAUAAGCCACGGCUAACUACGUG